CAAGUUUUCCGUAGGUGACCCUGCGAAAGAUUCAUUG
rnacentral:rRNA from 1 species